GACGAACGCUGGCGGCGUGCUUAACACAUGCAAGUCGAGCGGUAAGGCCCUUUCGGGGGUACACGAGCGGCGAACGGGUGAGUAACACGUGGGUGACCUGCCCUCAGCUCUGGGAUAAGCCUGGGAAACCGGGUCUAAUACUGGAUAUGACUCCAUGGCGCAUGUUGUGGGGUGGAAAGCCUUGUGCGGCUGAGGAUGGGCCCGCGGCCUAUCAGCUUGUUGGUGGGGUGAUGGCCUACCAAGGCGACGACGGGUAGCCGGCCUGAGAGGGCGACCGGCCACACUGGGACUGAGACACGGCCCAGACUCCUACGGGAGGGCAGCAGUGGGGAAUCUUGCGCAAUGGGCGAAAGCCUGACGCAGCGACGCCGCGUGAGGGAUGACGGCCU
rnacentral:rRNA from 1 species